UACGUAGGGGGCAAGCGUUGUCCGGAUUUACUGGGCGUAAAGAGCUCGUAGGCGGUUUGUCACGUCUGCUGUGAAAUCCCGAGGCUCAACCUCGGGCCUGCAGUGGGUACGGGCAGACUGGAGUGCGGUAGGGGAGAAUGGAAUUCCUGGUGUAGCGGUGGAAUGCGCAGAUAUCAGGAGGAACACCGAUGGCGAAGGCAGUUCUCUGGGCCGUAACUGACGCUGAGGAGCGAAAGCGUGGGGAGCGAACAGG
rnacentral:rRNA from 1 species